rnacentral:rRNA from 1 species
GAUGAACGCUGGCGGCGUGCCUAAUACAUGCAAGUCGAGCGAACAGACGAGGAGCUUGCUCCUCUGACGUUAGCGGCGGACGGGUGAGUAACACGUGGAUAACCUACCUAUAAGACUGGGAUAACUUCGGGGAACCGGAGCUAAUACCGGAUAACAUGUUGAACCGCAUGGUUCAACAGUGAAAGACGGUCUUGCUGUCACUUAUAGAUGGAUCCGCGCCGCAUUAGCUAGUUGGUAAGGUAACGGCUUACCAAGGCAACGAUGCGUAGCCGACCUGAGAGGGUGAUCGGCCACACUGGAACUGAGACACGGUCCAGACUCCUACGGGAGGCAGCAGUAGGGAAUCUUCCGCAAUGGGCGAAAGCCUGACGGAGCAACGCCGCGUGAGUGAAGAAGGUCUUCGGAUCGUAAAACUCUGUUAUUAGGGAAGAACAAAUGUGUAAGUAACUAUGCACGUCUUGACGGUACCUAAUCAGAAAGCCACGGCUAACUACGUG